rnacentral:rRNA from 1 species
CCUGCCACAGCGAUACCAUGCAGUCGUACGAGGUAGCUAUACAUUGCUACCUAACCUAGCGGCGGACGGGUGAGUAAUCGCUUAGGAAUCUGCCUAUUAGUGGGGGACAACAUUCCGAAAGGGAUGCUAAUACCGCAUACGUCCUACGGGAGAAAGCAGGGGAUCUUCGGACCUUGCGCUAAUAGAUGAGCCUAAGUCGGAUUAGCUAGUUGGUGGGGUAAAGGCCUACCAAGGCGACGAUCUGUAGCGGGUCUGAGAGGAUGAUCCGCCACACUGGGACUGAGACACGGCCCAGACUCCUACGGGAGGCAGCAGUGGGGAAUAUUGGACAAUGGGGGGAACCCUGAUCCAGCCAUGCCGCGUGUGUGAAGAAGGCCUUAUGGUUGUAAAGCACUUUAAGCGAGGAGGAGGCUACUUAGAUUAAUACUCUAGGAUAGUGGACGUUACUCGCAGAAUAAGCACCGGCUAACUCUGUGCCAGCAGCCGCGGUAAUACAGAGGGUGCGAGCGUUAAUCGGAUUUACUGGGCGUAAAGCGUGCGUAGGCGGCUAUUUAAGUCAAAUGUGAAAUCCCCGAGCUUAACUUGGGAAUUGCAUUCGAUACUGGAUGGCUAGAGUAUGGGAGAGGAUGGUAGAAUUCCAGGUGUAGCGGUGAAAUGCGUAGAGAUCUGGAGGAAUACCGAUGGCGAAGGCAGCCAUCUGGCCUAAUACUGACGCUGAGGUACGAAAGCAUGGGGAGCAAACAGGAUUAGAUACCCUGGUAGUCCAUGCCGUAAACGAUGUCUACUAGCCGUUGGGGGCCUUUGAGGCUUUAGUGCGCAGCUAACGCGAUAAGUAGACCGCCCUGGGGGAGUACGGUCGCAAGACUAAAAACUCAAAUGAAUUUGACGGGGGCCCGCACAAGCGGGUGGAGCAUGGUGGUUUUAAUUCGAUGCAACGCGAAAGAACCCUUACCCUGGUCUUUGAACAUAGUUAGGACUUUCAGAGAUGGAUUUGCUGGCCUUUCGGUACCUACAAUAACAGUGCUGCAUUGGCCUGUCGUCAGCUCGUUCUUGAAGAAAUGUUUUGGGAUAUACGUC